UAGGGAAUCUUCCACAAUGGGUGCAAACCUGAUGGAGCAAUGCCGCGUGAAUGAAGAAGGUCUUCGGAUCGUAAAGUUCUGUUAUUAGAGAAGAACAAGUCAAGGAGUAACUGUCUUGACUUUGACGGUACCUAACCAGAAAGUCACGGCUAACUACGUGCCAGCAGCCGCGGUAAUACGUAGGUGACAAGCGUUGUCCGGAAUUAUUGGGCGUAAAGGGAGCGCAGGCGGUUGGAAUAGUCUGAUGUGAAAGCCCACGGCUUAACCGUGGAAGGUCAUUGGAAACUGUCCAACUUGAAUGCAGAAGAGGUAAGUGGAAUUCCAUGUGUAGCGGUGAAAUGCGUAGAUAUAUGGAGGAACACCAGUGGCGAAGGCGACUUACUGGUCUGUGAUUGACGCUGAGGCUCGAAAGCGUGGGUAGCGAACAGGAUUAGAUACCCUGGUAGUCCACGCCGUAAACGAUGAGUGCUAAGUGUUGGAGGGUUUCCGCCCUUCAGUGCUGGAGUUAACGCAUUAAGCACUCCGCCUGGGGAGUACGACCGCAAGGUUGA
rnacentral:rRNA from 1 species